CAAAGGCGCACGGAAUGCUGUUCUCUUCCCACCAAAGGCUGCCUUCUUCAGCCCUCUCACCGCCUUCUCCUCGUUCCCCGAAAUGGCCAGCCAGCGGGCAGAUUCGACAAAAAACCUGCAGUCAAGGAGGUGUUUUUUGUAGCUCUCAGGUAGCCCUGAGACCUAGUGGUUAAAGCUGGGCCUCAGAAAAGAGGAUGGGAAUUUAAGAGUGAGCGGAGGGAUCCGGAUGGAUGGCAGAGAAUUGGGAGACGGGAAUUUGCAACUUUCUUAAAAGGUCGUUGGAGAUCUGGCUGUGAGUUCUAAUCCUGGUUUAGAGACGUUUCAAGAUAAUCCUAUUCCACUGCUGGAAUGGCUUGGGAAUAACUCAGACCUUCACCCAAUUGAAAAUCUAUGCAGCUGACUAAAGAAACUGGUUAGUCAGAACUUAGUGAUCCAGCAAUAAAACCCAGUUAAUAGAAGCCAUCAUUCAAUCUUGGUUUCACUUGAUAACAGCUGCAGAACUCAAAGACUUAGUUCACUCCAUGGGAAGACGUUGUAAGGCCGUAAUUCAUGCUAAAGGUUACCCAACGAAGAAUUAACUGAUAUGGGGAUAAUUUUUGUAUAUCUUAUUUUUUCUAUGGUGAUAAUUUUUCUAUAUCUUGUUUUCUACGUGUUUCG